UAGGGAAUCUUCCGCAAUGGGCGAAAGCCUGACGGAGCAACGCCGCGUGAGUGAUGAAGGUCUUCGGAUCGUAAAACUCUGUUAUUAGGGAAGAACAAAUGUGUAAGUAACUAUGCACGUCUUGACGGUACCUAAUCAGAAAGCCACGGCUAACUACGUGCCAGCAGCCGCGGUAAUACGUAGGUGGCAAGCGUUAUCCGGAAUUAUUGGGCGUAAAGCGCGCGUAGGCGGUUUUUUAAGUCUGAUGUGAAAGCCCACGGCUCAACCGUGGAGUGUCAUUGGAAACUGGAAAACUUGAGUGCAGAAGAGGAAAGUGGAAUUCCAUGUGUAGCGGUGAAAUGCGCAGAGAUAUGGAGGAACACCAGUGGCGAAGGCGACUUUCUGGUCUGUAACUGACGCUGAUGUGCGAAAGCGGGGGGAUCAAACAGG
rnacentral:rRNA from 1 species